rnacentral:rRNA from 1 species
CCUAGGGCUGGCAGCAGUGGGGAAUAUUGGACAAUGGGCGAAAGCCUGAUCCAGCCAUGCCGCGUGUGUGAAGAAGGCCUUCGGGUUGUAAAGCACUUUCAGUGGGGAAGAAAGCCUUGGGGCUAAUACCCUCGAGGAAGGACAUCACCCACAGAAGAAGCACCGGCUAACUCCGUGCCAGCAGCCGCGGUAAUACGGAGGGUGCGAGCGUUAAUCGGAAUUACUGGGCGUAAAGCGCGCGUAGGCGGUCUGAUAAGCCGGUUGUGAAAGCCCCGGGCUCAACCUGGGAACGGCAUCCGGAACUGUCAGGCUAGAGUGCAGGAGAGGAAGGUAGAAUUCCCGGUGUAGCGGUGAAAUGCGUAGAGAUCGGGAGGAAUACCAGUGGCGAAGGCGGCCUUCUGGACUGACACUGACGCUGAGGUGCGAAAGCGUGGGUAGCAAACAGGAUUAGAUACCCCAGUAGUC